rnacentral:rRNA from 1 species
UGGGGAAUUUUACGCAAUGGGCGAAAGCCUGACGUAGCGACACCGCGUGAGCGAAGAAGCCUUUUGGGGUGUAAAGCUCUGUCAGCUGGAACGAACACAAUGACGGUACCAGCAGAGGAAGCAUCGGCUAACUACGUGCCAGCAGCCGCGGUAAGACGUAGGAUGCAAGCGUUGUCCGGAUUUAUUGGGCGUAAAGAGUUCGUAGGCGGUUAGUUAAGUCUGGUGUUAAAUCCCGUGGCCCAACCACGGAGCUGCAUCAGAUACUGGCUGACUUGAGUGCGGUAGAGGCGAGUGGAAUUCCCAGUGUAGCGGUGAAAUGCGUAGAUAUUGGGAAGAACACCAGUGGCGUAAGCGACUCGCUGGGCCGUAACUGACGCUGAGGAACGAAAGCCAGGGGAGCGAAUGGGAUUAGAUACCCCAGUAGUCCUGGCCGUAAACGAUGGAUACUAGGCGCUGCGGGUAUCGACCCCUGCAGUGCCGCAGCUAACGCGAUAAGUAUCCCGCCUGAGUAGUACGGCCGCAAGGUUG